rnacentral:rRNA from 1 species
CCUACGGGCGACAGCAGUGGGGGAUAUUGGACAAUGGGGGAAACCCUGAUCCAGCGACGCCGCGUGAGUGAAGAAGUCUUUCGGUAUGUAAAGCUCUAUCCGCAGGGAAGAAAGACAUGACGGUACCUGAGUCAGAAGCCCCGGCUAACUACGUGCCAGCAGCCGCGGUACUACGUAGGGGGCAAGCGUUAUCCGGAAUUACUGGGUGUAAAGGGAGCGUAGACGGUAAUGCAAGUCUGGAGUGAAAGGCGGGGGCCCAACCCCCGGACUGCUCUGGAAACUGUGUAACUGGAGUGCAGGAGAGGCAGGCGGAAUUCCUAGUGUAGCGGGGAAAUGCGUAGAUAUUAGGAGGAACACCAGUGGCGAAGGCGGCCUGCUGGACUGUAACUGACGUUGAGGCUCGAAAGCGUGGGGAGCAAACAGGAUUAGAUACCCUUGUAGUC